AUUUAACCAGAAAGCCACGGCUAACUACGUGCCAGCAGCCGCGGUAAUACGUAGGUGGCAAGCGUUGUCCGGAUUUAUUGGGCGUAAAGCGAGCGCAGGCGGUUUUUUAAGUCUGAUGUGAAAGCCUUCGGCUCAACCGAAGAAGUGCAUCGGAAACUGGGAAACUUGAGUGCAGAAGAGGACAGUGGAACUCCAUGUGUAGCGGUGAAAUGCGUAGAUAUAUGGAAGAACACCAGUGGCGAAGGCGGCUGUCUGGUCUGUAACUGACGCUGAGGCUCGAAAGUAUGGGUAGCAAACAGGAUUAGAUACCCUGGUAGUCCAUACCGUAAACGAUGAAUGCUAAGUGUUGGAGGGUUUCCGCCCUUCAGUGCUGCAGCUAACGCAUUAAGCAUUCCGCCUGGGGAGUACGGCCGCAAGGCUGAAACUCAAAGGAAUUGACGGGGGCCCGCACAAGCGGUGGAGCAUGUGGUUUAAUUCGAAGCUACGCGAAGAACCUUACCAGGUCUUGACAUACUAUGCAAAUCUAAGAGAUUAGACGUUCCCUUCGGGGACAUGGAUACAGGUGGUGCAUGGUUGUCGUCAGCUCGUGUCGUGAGAUGUUGGGUUAAGUCCCGCAACGAGCGCAACCCUUAUUAUCAGUUGCCAGCAUUAAGUUGGGCACUCUGGUGAGACUGCCGGUGACAAACCGGAGGAAGGUGGGGAUGACGUCAAAUCAUCAUGCCCCUUAUGACCUGGGCUACACACGUGCUACAAUGGAUGGUACAACGAGUUGCGAACUCGCGAGAGUAAGCUAAUCUCUUAAAGCCAUUCUCAGUUCGGAUUGUAGGCUGCAACUCGCCUACAUGAAGUCGGAAUCGCUAGUAAUCGCGGAUCAGCAUGCCGCGGUGAAUACGUUCCCGGGCCUUGUACACACCGCCCGUCACACCAUGAGAGUUUGUAACACCCAAAGUCGGUGGGGUAACCUUUUAGGAACCAGCCGCCUAAGGUGGGACAGAUGAUUAGGGUGAAGUCGUAACAAGGUAGCCGUAGGAGAACCUGCGGCUGGAUCACCUCCUUUCUAAGGAA
rnacentral:rRNA from 1 species